UGUAUAUAAAUACAUUUUCCUUAUCCUUUCACCUGUUGAUGCACAAAUAUGCUGUUUUGAAGAUUUAUCUAUUAUAAGUUGUGCUGCUAUAAACAUAGGGACUGAAUACCAGACAUCCACAUAUUAAAGGAGGCUUAUGGUUUCAAGAGAUUCAGUCCUUAGCCAGCUGGCUACACAGCAGAAGCAACACUGCAGAAGAAUAUGGUGGAGCAGAGAUGCUUAGUUCAUGGUGGCAGAAAAGCAGAGCAAGAAAACAGUGCUAAAGAGGAAGGGGCCAGGGACCCUGAGGCUAUACUUCCACGGUCCAGCCAGACACAUUCAGAGAUGAAAACAACACUGAGAUUCCACCUCACCCCAGAAAGAAUGGCUGCUAUCAA